rnacentral:rRNA from 1 species
UACGAAGGGGGCUAGCGUUGCUCGGAAUUACUGGGCGUAAAGCGCACGUAGGCGGUCUUUUAAGUCGGGGGUGAAAUCCUGGAGCUCAACUCCAGAACUGCCUUCGAUACUGGAAGACUUGAGUCCGGGAGAGGUGAGUGGAACUGCGAGUGUAGAGGUGAAAUUCGUAGAUAUUCGCAAGAACACCAGUGGCGAAGGCGACUUACUGGACACAUAUUGACGCUGAGGUGCGAAAGCGUGGGGAGCAAACAGG